rnacentral:rRNA from 1 species
UACGUAGGGUGCAAGCGUUAUCCGGAAUUACUGGGCGUAAAGCGCGUGUAGGCGGCUUUGCAAGUCGGGCGUGAAAUCCCAUGGCUCAACCAUGGAAGUGCACUCGAAACUGCAGAGCUAGAGUCCUGGAGAGGAAGGUGGAAUGCUUGGUGUAGAGGUGAAAUUCGUAGAUAUCAAGCGGAACACCGGUGGCCGAAGGCGGCCUUCUGGACAGUGACUGACGCAUGA